rnacentral:pre_miRNA from 13 species
GAAAGAUGCUAAACUGUUUUUGCGAUGUGUUCCUAAUAUGUACUAUAAAUAUAUUGGGAGCAUUUUGCAUGCAUAGUUUUGCAUCAAUAUA